rnacentral:rRNA from 1 species
AGGACGAACGCUGGCGGCGUGCUUAACACAUGCAAGUCGAACGGGGUCCAACUCUUCGCAAGAAGAGGGAAGACCUAGUGGCGAACGGGUGCGUAACACGUGAGGAACCUGCCCCGAAGACCGGGACAACACCGGGAAACCGGUGCUAAUACCGGAUAUCCCCAUCUGAUCGCAUGGUCGGAUGAGGAAAUGGAUUCCGCUUUGGGAGGGCCUCGCGGCCUAUCAGCUUGUUGGUGAGGUAACGGCUCACCAAAGGCUUCGACGGGUAGCUGGUCUGAGAGGACGACCAGCCACACUGGACUGAGACACGG